rnacentral:rRNA from 1 species
AACACUGGGACUGAGACACUGCCCAGACUCCUACGGGAGGCUGCAGUCGAGAAUCUUUCGCAAUGGGCGCAAGCCUGACGAAGCGACGCCGUGUGAGCGAAGAAGGCCUUCGGGUUGUAAAGCUCUUUCGCUAGGGAACAAGAGAAGGNGAANAACCUAAUUUGAUGGUACUUGGUAAAGAAGCACCGGCUAACUC